AAUAAAGAACACCCAGUUAAAUUUUAAUUUCAGACACAAAGCAAUUUUUUUUUUAGUAUAAGUAUGUUCCAUGCAAUAUUUGGGACAUACUCAUACUAAAAAAUUAUUUGUUGUUUAUCUGAAAUUCAACUUUAGCUGGAUGUCCCAUAUUUU
rnacentral:miRNA from 1 species